rnacentral:rRNA from 1 species
GGUUAAGCGACUAAGCGUACACGGUGGAUGCCCUGGCAGUCAGAGGCGAUGAAGGACGUGCUAAUCUGCGAUAAGCGUCGGUAAGGUGAUAUGAACCGUUAUAACCGGCGAUUUCCGAAUGGGGAAACCCAGUGUGAUUCGUCACACUAUCAUUAACUGAAUCCAUAGGUUAAUGAGGCGAACCGGGGGAACUGAAACAUCUAAGUACCCCGAGGAAAAGAAAUCAACCGAGAUUCCCCCAGUAGCGGCGAGCGAACGGGGAGCAGCCCAGAGCCUGAAUCAGUGUGUGUGUUAGUGGAAGCGUCUGGAAAGGCGCGCGAUACAGGGUGACAGCCCCGUACACAAAAAUGCACAUGCUGUGAGCUCGAUGAGUAGGGCGGGACACGUGGUAUCCUGUCUGAAUAUGGGGGGACCAUCCUCCAAGGCUAAAUACUCCUGACUGACCGAUAGUGAACCAGUACCGUGAGGGAAAGGCGAAAAGAACCCCGGCGAGGGGAGUGAAAAAGAACCUGAAACCGUGUACGUACAAGCAGUGGGAGCACGCUUAGGCGUGUGACUGCGUACCUUUUGUAUAAUGGGUCAGCGACUUAUAUUCUGUAGCAAGGUUAACCGAAUAGGGGAGCCGAAGGGAAACCGAGUCUUAACUGGGCGUUAAGUUGCAGGGUAUAGACCCGAAACCCGGUGAUCUAGCCAUGGGCAGGUUGAAGGUUGGGUAACACUAACUGGAGGACCGAACCGACUAAUGUUGAAAAAUUAGCGGAUGACUUGUGGCUGGGGGUGAAAGGCCAAUCAAACCGGGAGAUAGCUGGUUCUCCCCGAAAGCUAUUUAGGUAGCGCCUCGUGAAUUCAUCUCCGGGGGUAGAGCACUGUUUCGGCAAGGGGGUCAUCCCGACUUACCAACCCGAUGCAAACUGCGAAUACCGGAGAAUGUUAUCACGGGAGACACACGGCGGGUGCUAACGUCCGUCGUGAAGAGGGAAACAACCCAGACCGCCAGCUAAGGUCCCAAAGUCAUGGUUAAGUGGGAAACGAUGUGGGAAGGCCCAGACAGCCAGGAUGUUGGCUUAGAAGCAGCCAUCAUUUAAAGAAAGCGUAAUAGCUCACUGGUCGAGUCGGCCUGCGCGGAAGAUGUAACGGGGCUAAACCAUGCACCGAAGCUGCGGCAGCGACGCUAAUGCGUUGUUGGGUAGGGGAGCGUUCUGUAAGCCUGCGAAGGUGUGCUGUGAGGCAUGCUGGAGGUAUCAGAAGUGCGAAUGCUGACAUAAGUAACGAUAAAGCGGGUGAAAAGCCCGCUCGCCGGAAGACCAAGGGUUCCUGUCCAACGUUAAUCGGGGCAGGGUGAGUCGACCCCUAAGGCGAGGCCGAAAGGCGUAGUCGAUGGGAAACAGGUUAAUAUUCCUGUACUUGGUGUUACUGCGAAGGGGGGACGGAGAAGGCUAUGUUGGCCGGGCGACGGUUGUCCCGGUUUAAGCGUGUAGGCUGGUUUUCCAGGCAAAUCCGGAAAAUCAAGGCUGAGGCGUGAUGACGAGGCACUACGGUGCUGAAGCAACAAAUGCCCUGCUUCCAGGAAAAGCCUCUAAGCAUCAGGUAACAUCAAAUCGUACCCCAAACCGACACAGGUGGUCAGGUAGAGAAUACCAAGGCGCUUGAGAGAACUCGGGUGAAGGAACUAGGCAAAAUGGUGCCGUAACUUCGGGAGAAGGCACGCUGAUAUGUAGGUGAAGUCCCUCGCGGAUGGAGCUGAAAUCAGUCGAAGAUACCAGCUGGCUGCAACUGUUUAUUAAAAACACAGCACUGUGCAAACACGAAAGUGGACGUAUACGGUGUGACGCCUGCCCGGUGCCGGAAGGUUAAUUGAUGGGGUUAGCGCAAGCGAAGCUCUUGAUCGAAGCCCCGGUAAACGGCGGCCGUAACUAUAACGGUCCUAAGGUAGCGAAAUUCCUUGUCGGGUAAGUUCCGACCUGCACGAAUGGCGUAAUGAUGGCCAGGCUGUCUCCACCCGAGACUCAGUGAAAUUGAACUCGCUGUGAAGAUGCAGUGUACCCGCGGCAAGACGGAAAGACCCCGUGAACCUUUACUAUAGCUUGACACUGAACAUUGAGCAUUGAUGUGUAGGAUAGGUGGGAGGCUUUGAAGUGUGGACGCCAGUCUGCAUGGAGCCGACCUUGAAAUACCACCCUUUAAUGUUUGAUGUUCUAACGUUGACCCGUAAUCCGGGUUGCGGACAGUGUCUGGUGGGUAGUUUGACUGGGGCGGUCUCCUCCUAAAGAGUAACGGAGGAGCACGAAGGUUGGCUAAUCCUGGUCGGACAUCAGGAGGUUAGUGCAAUGGCAUAAGCCAGCUUGACUGCGAGCGUGACGGCGCGAGCAGGUGCGAAAGCAGGUCAUAGUGAUCCGGUGGUUCUGAAUGGAAGGGCCAUCGCUCAACGGAUAAAAGGUACUCCGGGGAUAACAGGCUGAUACCGCCCAAGAGUUCAUAUCGACGGCGGUGUUUGGCACCUCGAUGUCGGCUCAUCACAUCCUGGGGCUGAAGUAGGUCCCAAGGGUAUGGCUGUUCGCCAUUUAAAGUGGUACGCGAGCUGGGUUUAGAACGUCGUGAGACAGUUCGGUCCCUAUCUGCCGUGGGCGCUGGAGAACUGAGGGGGGCUGCUCCUAGUACGAGAGGACCGGAGUGGACGCAUCACUGGUGUUCGGGUUGUCAUGCCAAUGGCACUGCCCGGUAGCUAAAUGCGGAAGAGAUAAGUGCUGAAAGCAUCUAAGCACGAAACUUGCCCCGAGAUGAGUUCUCCCUGACUCCUUGAGAGUCCUGAAGGAACGUUGAAGACGACGACGUUGAUAGGCCGGGUGUGUAAGCGCAGCGAUGCGUUGAGCUAACCGGUACUAAUGAACCGUGAGGCUUAACCUU